CAACCCUUAAACUUAGGUUUGAUGUUGGGCCUUGUCGUCAUGACAUGCCUUAAAUUUAGUGAUGGUAACCUUUCUCCACAGGCGCACAGAUGCUGCCAUGAUGGUGUUACAGGCGGCCACUCAACCCCAAAAUUCUGAA
rnacentral:misc_RNA from 1 species